UACGUAGGGUGCAAGCGUUAAUCGGAAUUACUGGGCGUAAAGCGUGCGCAGGCGGUGAUGUAAGACAGAUGUGAAAUCCCCGGGCUCAACCUGGGAACUGCAUUGGUGACUGGCGGGCUAGAGUAUGGCAGAGGGGGGUAGAAUUCCACGUGUAGCAGUGAAAUGCGUAGAGAUGUGGAGGAAUACCGAUGGCGAAGGCAGCCCCCUGGGCCAAUACUGACGCUCAUGCACGAAAGCGUGGGGAGCAAACAGG
rnacentral:rRNA from 1 species